AUCAAGAGGAUUUUUCUGGGAAAGGACAAUCCGUACCCUUAGCAUUGUAAUGGGCUCCCUUCAGAUAGCUGGAGGAACUGGAACAUCUUCCUGCGUCAACACUCAGCUCAAUCUUGAAAUCCAAAGGCACAUCCAAAGAGAUUCCGGGCAGAAUCCAACAGAACCUUUCUCUAGAAUCCCAAUUUGAUUUUCUGAAGCCGGGUGACUACAUCUGGGGCCACGCCUGCUUAUGCAGCUCUCCUGACCAUUAUGUGCUCAGCAACAGCCCACAAGUCACUCUGAGAUGAACACUUUGAGCAAACAGGCCCAGGACAUCACAGUGACCCCACCUGUGAGCACACUGCAGGCCGGGCCCUGAGUAGAAAUGAACAAGGUGGUCAGCAUGCUGACAGGUCUUCCCUGUGUGAUUUACUUUAUCAUGAAGUCUAACUCUGAUGCUAAAGUGCUAGCCUGAGCUCACUGACCUGCCAACUUAGAGAAGAAGGUAACCAUGGCUAGGAUGACUGGGAAUCUGAUGGACUGAAUUAAGAAUUUCUACAGAUGGGAAAGGCAAAACUCCUUAGUGGCAGGAGGCCAAAGAUGGUCAGUGAAUCACUGCUUCUGGCUGUUGGAAGGUGACUGCACUUGAAUAAUAGAACGCAAACGGAGCUUCAAAAUCAUGGCGUGCCUGCUUCUGGGUUCCUUUAACUGCAAGAAAUCAGCUCUGAAGACCACAGAGGGAACUUCUGAUGUGAUUCAAACCUUUGUCUUUUUUUUUUUUUUUAUCUUUUAAGAGCAUUCAAAAACA